AGUGAACGCUGGCGGUAGGCCUAAUACAUGCAAGUCGAACGGCCGCAUAGUAAGAGCUUGCUCUUACCGGUGGCGAGUGGCGGAUGGGUGAGGAAUACAUCGGAAUCUACUUUUUCGUGGGGGACAACGUAGGGAAACUUACGCUAAUACCGCAUACGACCUACGGGUGAAAUCAGGGGAUCUUGGGACCUUGGGCGUCUGUAUUAGCCGAUGUCGGAUUAGCUAGUUGGCGGGGUAAAGGCCCACCAAGGCGACGAUCCGUAGCUGGUCUGAGGGGAUGAUCAGCCACACUGGAACUGAGACACGGUCCAGACUCCUACGGGAGGCAGCAGUGGGGAAUAUUGGACAAUGGGCGCAAGCCUGAUCCAGCCAUGCCGCGUGGGUGAAGAAGGCCUUCGGGUUGUAAAGCCCUUUUGUUGGGAAAGAAAAGCAGCAGGUUAAUACCCCGCUGUUCUGACGGUACCCAAAGAAUAAGCACCGGCUAACUUCGUG
rnacentral:rRNA from 1 species